rnacentral:lncRNA from 1 species
UUCGUUUGGUUGGGAUAUAAAUAAAAAUGAUUUAUUCUAAAAAUAUAUACAAGUUAAAAUAUAAGUAAGAAUUAAAUUAAUUUUGAGUUUGUAUAAAAACUAAAUUAUUUUCAAAAGUAAGAAAAAUAAAUUUCGGAUAAAAAUUUGAAUUAUUCUCGAAAAUAAGAAAAAUAACAUUUAAAUAAAUAAGAUAGAAUAAGAAAAAUAACAAACUUUUAUAAAUAAAAAUGAUGAUAUUACUUCUCUUAUUAAAUUUGAAUUUUUAAAUUUUAUUUUUUAAAUUUAAAAUAUAAAAUUUAAAAUCUCAAAUUAUAAAUUUUAAAAUUCAAAAAAUUAAUUUAAAAUUUAAAAAUUAUAAAAUUUCAAAUUUUAAAUUUGAAAAUUUUAAAAUCUAAAAUUUAAUUUAAAAUUUAAAAUUUAUAAAAUUAUAAAUUUUAAUUUUAAAAUUAAAACUAUAAAUUUUUUAAUAAA